UACGUAGGGAGCAAGCGUUGUCCGGAAUCAUUGGGCGUAAAGCGCGCGUAGGUGGCCACAUAAGUCCGUUGUGAAAGUCAAAGGCUCAACCUUUGAAAGCCGAUGGAUACUGUGUGGCUAGAGUACGGAAGAGGCGAGUGGAAUUCCUGGUGUAGCGGUGGAAUGCGCAGAUAUCAGGAGGAACACCAAUAGCGAAGGCAGCUCGCUGGGACGUUACUGACACUGAGGAGCGAAAGCGUGGGGAGCGAACAGG
rnacentral:rRNA from 1 species